UGUGGGAGCGAGCUUGCUCGCGAUAGCGGUGGAUCAGCCACCUUCAAUGUUGGAUGUGCUGAUGCUAUCGCGAGCAAGCUCGCUCCCACA
rnacentral:misc_RNA from 1 species